rnacentral:misc_RNA from 1 species
GAAAUGCGAUAAUUAAUGUGAAUUGCAGAAUUCAGUGAAUCAUCGAGUCUUUGAACGCACAUUGCGCCCCCUGGUAUUCCGGGGGGCAUGCCUGUCCGAGCGUCAUUGCUGCCCUCAAGCACGGCUUGUGUGUUGGGCUUCCGUCCCUGGCAACGGGGACGGGCCCAAAAGGCAGUGGCGGCACCAUGUCUGGUCCUCGAGCGUAUGGGGCUUUGUCACCCGCUCCCGUAGGUCCAGCUGGCAGCUAGCCUCGCAACCAAUCUUUUUAACCAGGUUGACCUCGGAUCAGGUAGGGAUACCCGCUGAACUUAGGC